AGAAAACAAACACAUUUUUAUAAUCUAACACUGAAAGAAAGAACAUAGAGGAGUCAAAGGAGGAGCAGAUCACAGACAUGAAGCCCAUCUCAUCACCGAGUAAAGAUGAAGACCAUGCCAGGUUGGUCAUGGCCAUGAAUGUUUGCCAGCAAUACCACCAUGAACAAGGGCUGGAGAAUACACCUGCAAUUCAAACCAUUCUUGAUUUAGCUC
rnacentral:lncRNA from 1 species